GUUUUAGUAAUUUAAAUAAAAAUAUUGGUCUUGUAAACCAAACUUAAGUACUCUUCUAAAACU
rnacentral:tRNA from 1 species